UGGGGAAUUUUGGACAAUGGGGGAAACCCUGAUCCAGCCAUCCCGCGUGUGCGAUGAAGGCCUUCGGGUUGUAAAGCACUUUUGGCAGGAAAGAAACGUCAUGGGUUAAUACCCCGUGAAACUGACGGUACCUGCAGAAUAAGCACCGGCUAACUACGUGCCAGCAGCCGCGGUAAUACGUAGGGUGCAAGCGUUAAUCGGAAUUACUGGGCGUAAAGCGUGCGCAGGCGGUUCGGAAAGAAAGAUGUGAAAUCCCAGAGCUCAACUUUGGAACUGCAUUUUUAACUACCGGGCUAGAGUGUGUCAGAGGGAGGUGGAAUUCCGCGUGUAGCAGUGAAAUGCGUAGAUAUGCGGAGGAACACCGAUGGCGAAGGCAGCCUCCUGGGAUAACACUGACGCUCAUGCAAGAAAGCGUGGGGAGCAAACAGG
rnacentral:rRNA from 1 species